CAACACCUAGCGAGAUGGAAUCACCUCAGAAUAACCUUGGUGACGCUGAUUAAGACUUCACCGGGAGUUCUGUGGUGAUACCUACUUUAUUCCUCCAAAC
rnacentral:pre_miRNA from 1 species